rnacentral:sRNA from 1 species
UGUUUGCACUUAGCGGGAAGGGUAAGAACCUUCGACUAAGGUUCGACUCGAGCGCCAGCGAGAGAACGUUGCCGCAGGCAACGGCCCGAAGGGCGAGGCGCUUUAGCGCCGAGUUAUCCUUCCCCCACCACCA